GCCGGGCACGGUGGCUCACGCCUGUAAUCCCAGCACUUUGGGAGGCUGAGGCGGGGGGAUCACCUGAGGUCAGGAGUUCGAGACCAGCCUGGCCAACAUGGUGAAACCCCGUCUCUA
rnacentral:SRP_RNA from 1 species